CGUCGGCGGUGUGCGGACCUGAAACCACACGCAAAGGGCAGUACCUGGUACAACCGGUGAAGGGUGAAAUAGCAGAGAUAUACUGGGGACUAUUGAUACCGGAAAAGCCGGACAAACAGGGUAUUUUGUCCCAGUACUUCAAGUGGAGGCCGUGGAUCUCCCUCCUCGAGCCGUACUUUCCUCCGCCAGACCCCCCACAUGUAACCCUAUUUUAUGAUCGGCAGGGCGAUGAGGUGUAUAGAGAAGGGUUUGGGGAUGUAGUGUGUGGGGACAUGUGGCAGGUCGGGUCUAAAUUCAUAUAUGUAGGCCCUGAAGGGGUAGCGGCAGAUGUACAGUUGACAGAGGAGCAGGAUCAGUGGUACAUGAUGGCGGAGGAGUCCGUCCCGCAUGUGUCACUGGCCCUGCAUCCUAAACACCAAGCAAAAGACCUGGGGCCCAUGGUUAAAAGGGCGGUCGAAUGCACUGAUUGGACACUCACUCAGGCGCCAAACGUAUGGUACUCACACAGCUGUAAGAUGUAAAAAUGGUUCACUUGCAUUGACCUGGCUAAUGUUUUUUCUGUCUCCCACUAGCAGAGGAACUUCGUGAUAUUUUUUCUUUCACACAUAGGGGUCGGCAAUGGCGAUACACGAGACUACCACAGGGGUUCGCGCUUUCCCCUGGUAUAUUCAACCAGGUACUGAGAGGAGCGCUGCAGGGAUGCUGCCUGCCGACAGGGGUAACUUUGGUCCAGUACAUAGAUGACCUGCUGCUGGCGGCCCCGAUGGUGGCUGCCUGCAUCCAAGCUACGAUGAAGGUCCUCACCAGACUGGCUGAGAAAGGGUUCAAGGUGUCAAAAGAAAAGCUACAGCUGGUAAGGACGCAGGUCUCCUUUCUGGGCAGAGUAAUCUCGCAGAAGGGAGCGGGGCUUUCCCCAGCUCACCGCACAACCAUCCUCCACCCUCCUUAACCUACUACUGUUCAGGAAAUGCUAUCAUUCCUGGGGCUCACGGGGUACAGCCGCAAUUACAUCCCAAACUAUUCAGGGCUCACAGGGCCACUUAGAGCGCUAGUUAAGGAGCAGGGAAUGCGUAAACUUAAAGCCAAUCUCAAUUGGACUUGCCCGGCCGACCAGGCCUUCAUUUUGCUGAUACAACAACUAGCCACCACAGCUGAUCUGGCCAUACCCGACUACACAAAACACUUUUUUUUUUAGAUGUUUCUGAAACAGGUCAAGUCAUGAACGGUCCUGUUUCAGAAAAAAAAAGGGGGAGAAGGCUCUGAGAGAGAUGAGCUAGUGAGACAUCAAAAGGGGGCUUCCCCACAAGAGAAAACAAUUUGGCAACAGAGACGAGCGGGCUCUGGAGAGGGCCAGAGGGUAGAGUAAUACUUUCACCAGCCAUGCGGGGAGAUAAAUUUGCAGAAGCCCACGGGUUGGGCCAUGUAGGGCCAGCACAGAUGUUGAGGAACUUGUGCCAUUGGUGGCACCCGUUUAUGGUAGACAUGGUACGUAACUACACUAGGACAUGCACCAUCUGCACUCACCACAACCCAAAACCGACGAUCAAACCUGAGAUGGGGGCGUUCCGACGAGACCUGGACAAGAGAUAGUGAUAUACUACACGGACAUGAGGGAAACUGUACGGGGGUGCCGCUACAUGUUAGUGUGUGUGGACAUGUUCACAGGGUGGCCAGAAGCCUGGCCAGCUAGAAGGGAGGACAGUCAGACAGUGAUCAAGUGUUUAGUGAACCAGUACAUUCCCAGACACGGCUUCCCAGAGAAAAUCAGGUCAGACAAUGGGACUCACUUUAAGAACAAUGAUUUACAGAAGGUAGAGAGCAUCCACAGUCCCAGGGAAAGGUAGAAAGGAUGAACCAAAACUUAAAAAACAAGUUGGCUAAGAUAUGUGCACAGACUAAAUUGAACUGGGUGGAUGCACUGCCACUGGCACUCAUGACAAUUCGAUGCUCGUUAAAUCAGACCACUGGGUUCACCCCAUACAAGCUGCUGACGGGGAGACAGUUUCCAGGACCAGCCGCGGGGCCUGCGGUCCCGGAAGGGGAAAAGUGGCCCAAAGAUCACAGAGUGUAUUUUGAGGAAUUGCGAGCUCUCGUUUCAGAAUUCACCAAUAGAGUCGGAGAACGGAGGGACCUGCACCCGCUGGACCAGAACCUGCUCCAGGCGGAGUGGGUGUUGCUGAAGGUCAUCAAGCGAAAGUGGUCGGAGCCAAGGUGGACGGGUCCUCAUCAGGAGAGAACGAGUCAUGCGGUCCGCCUGAGGGACAAAGGAGAGACCUGGUACCAUUGGAGCCAGUGUACACCAGCGCAGGAGCCAGGGAGGUCGCUAACGGACCUCAUCCAAACCGGGAAGGAGGAGCUUUCCCCAGCGUGGACGGAAGAAGGACCAACACCAGCCGGACCGGUGCCAGGAGCGGACCCCAGGACACGGCGGGACUACAAGCGAGUGAAGGAGACAAAGGACGGCGCCAGGGGAAUAGACUCUUAGGGGAAAGAACUGAAGAAUACUGUAACAAAAGGGGGUAUAGGACACCGAGUGGCUACCACUUGUGCCAAGAUGACAGGGUUACAGAGAAAGUUCUGAGGAGAUGAUAGUAGAAUGAAAUGGUAUAUGGGAAUUGGUGGAAUAAUGAUAUGUGUGUUGUGUGUUGUUACAGGUUUCCCAGGUUGGCAUCGGGUCUUCAUUCCCCCAGCGAAGAGGUUCGCGACCCCACCUGAGGACACCUGUUUGAGGAAAUUUGGGGGUAUUGAAUUGGACUAGGUCAAGGGGUCACGCACAAGCAUUCUGGGAUAGAUAAUCCGCUGGAGGAAUGGCUGACCUCGAUGUUCGGCCAGUGGAAAGGUUUGAUAAUGUCUGUUCUUUUAUCGCUUGCUACAUUUGGUGCUAUAAUGGUUACUUGUGGGUGUUGUUGUAUCCCAUGCAUAAGAGGGCUUGCCAUGAGAGUGAUCUCUACAGCCAUUGAGAAGGCUCCAGGACCGCCACCAGGGAUGCUGAUGCCUCUACUGGAGCAGCAUGACCUGGGAGAACUGGAGCUUGGCGAAUAGGGGUGAUCUCUCUGGGGAGAGAUCAAAAGGGGGAAUUGUAGAUGUAUUGAUUGUAUAAGUUAGUGAACUGUUAUAAGCUGUUGUAACCAAUGAAGCAGAAUAUUAAUUAACUGGGAUUGGGCCAAUGGCACACUUGCUUUGUAAGUUAACGCCUCUAUCUUUUUGGGCGUAGUAGAAGUAUAAAAAUGAUGUUUUGACUGUUGAUCCUUAGACAUUGGGCGGCGACACUUGUCUCCAAAAGCUUUUGUAAUAAACGG
ensembl:lncRNA